ACUCCUACGGGAGGCAGCAGUGGGGAAUAUUGCACAAUGGGCGCAAGCCUGAUGCAGCCAUGCCGCGUGUAUGAAGAAGGCCUUCGGGUUGUAAAGUACUUUCAGCGGGGAGGAAGGCGAUAAGGUUAAUAACCUUGUUGAUUGACGUUACCCGCAGAAGAAGCACCGGCUAACUCCGUGCCAGCAGCCGCGGUAAUACGGAGGGUGCAAGCGUUAAUCGGAAUUACUGGGCGUAAAGCGCACGCAGGCGGUCUGUCAAGUCGGAUGUGAAAUCCCCGGGCUCAACCUGGGAACUGCAUUCGAAACUGGCAGGCUAGAGUCUUGUAGAGGGGGGUAGAAUUCCAGGUGUAGCGGUGAAAUGCGUAGAGAUCUGGAGGAAUACCGGUGGCGAAGGCGGCCCCCUGGACAAAGACUGACGCUCAGGUGCGAAAGCGUGGGGAGCAAACAGGAUUAGAUACCCCAGUAGUCCCAUGAU
rnacentral:rRNA from 1 species